rnacentral:rRNA from 1 species
GGUGAGUAACACGUGGAUAACCUACCUAUAAGACUGGGAUAACUUCGGUAAACCGGAGCUAAUACCGGAUAAUAUAUUGAACCGCAUGGUUCAAUAGUGAAAGACGGUUUUGCUGUCACUUAUAGAUGGAUCCGCGCCGCAUUAGCUAGUUGGUAAGGUAACUGCUUACCAAGGCAACGAUGCGUAGCCGACCUGAGAGGGUGAUCGGCCACACUGGAACUGAGACACGGUCCAG